GACAGAGGGUGCAAACGUUGUUCGGAAUUACUGGGCGUAAAGCGUGUGUAGGCGGUUUGCUAAGUCGGAUGUGAAAGCCCCGGGCUCAACCCGGGAAGUGCACUCGAAACUGGCAGGCUAGAGUAUCGGAGAGGUUGGUGGAAUUCUCGGUGUAGAGGUGAAAUUCGUAGAUAUCGAGAGGAACACCGGUGGCGAAGGCGGCCAACUGGACGAAUACUGACGCUGAGACACGAAAGCGUGGGGAGCAAACAGG
rnacentral:rRNA from 1 species